rnacentral:rRNA from 1 species
GACGAACGCUGGCGGCGUGCCUAAUACAUGCAAGUCGAGCGGACAGAUGGGAGCUUGCUCCUUGAUGUUAGCGGCGGACGGGUGAGUAACACGUGGGUAACCUGCCUGUAAGACUGGGAUAACUCCGGGAAACCGGGGCUAAUACCGGAUGGUUGUUUGAACCGCAUGGUUCAAACAUAAAAGGUGGCUUCGGCUACCACUUACAGAUGGACCCGCGGCGCAUUAGCUAGUUGGUGAGGUAAUGGCUCACCAAGGCGACGAUGCGUAGCCGACCUGAGAGGGUGAUCGGCCACACUGGGACUGAGACACGGCCCAGACUCCUACGGGAGGCAGCAGUAGGGAAUCUUCCGCAAUGGACGAAAGUCUGACGGAGCAACGCCGCGUGAGUGAUGAAGGUUUUCGGAUCGUAAAGCUCUGUUGUUAGGGAAGAACAAGUACCGUUCGAA